rnacentral:rRNA from 1 species
UACGGGGGGGGGCAAGCGUUGUUCGGAAUUACUGGGCGUAAAGGGCUCGUAGGUGGCCAACUAAGUCAGACGUGAAAUCCCUCGGCUUAACCGGGGAACUGCGUCUGAUACUGGAUGGCUUGAGUUCGGGAGAGGGAUGCGGAAUUCCAGGUGUAGCGGUGAAAUGCGUAGAUAUCUGGAGGAACACCGGUGGCGAAGGCG